GUACACGCUGUGACUAGCAUAUCAAUAAGCGGAGGAAAAGAAACUAACAAGGAUUCCCCUAGUAACGGCGAGUGAAGCGGGAAGAGCUCAAAUUUGAAAUCUUAAAGGGUUUCCCUUACGAAUUGUAGUUUAAAGAAGUGUUUUCUGUUGAGGUUUUGGUAAAAGUUCUUUGGAAUAGGACAUCAUAGAGGGUGAGAAUCCCGUAUUUGACCUUUACUUUCAACUUUGUGAUACACUUUCAAAGAGUCGGAUUGUUUGGGAAUGCAGUCCAAAAUGGGUGGUAAAUUUCAUCUAAAGCUAAAUAUUGGCGAGAGACCGAUAGCGAACAAGUACCGUGAGGGAAAGAUGAAAAGAACUUUGAAAAGAGAGUUAAACAGUACGUGAAAUUGUCAAAAGGGAAGCGUUUGACACCAGUGUUGUUUUUCUGAAAAUCAAUUAAAGAACUGUUUAUGCUAAGCUGUUUAGACUUUAUCAGCUAUCUGUUUAGUUUUGAGCUUUUCUUUAAUGCACUUUUCAGUUAACAAGUCAACAUCAAUUUCUUUUGCUGUAAAAAAGCUUGAGGAAGGUGGCUUGAGAUUCGUCUUAAGUGUUUAUAGCCUCUUGCCUAUGCAGUCGGAGAGAUUGAGGUCUGCAGCGUAGAUCCUUCGGGGCUAAAUGCAUUUGUGCUAAGUUAUAGCAUUUUAUAGACAACUUGUUGACUAUGAUUUGUCUUGUAGCUUACUCGCUUAUGUUAUUUACCUACGCUUAGGAUGUUGAUAUGCAUGACUGAUAU
rnacentral:rRNA from 1 species